AGAACCUACCAAGACAGCGGAGAGAUGUGGGUGAAGUUUGGCAGGGAUGAACAGGAAUGAGGACCUGCUGUGUGUGAGGUACUUUACAUACAUUAUUUCAUUCAAUUCUCCAAAAGCCCUGCAAAAUAGAAACUAACAAAGACCAUACUGAUUUCUCAGCCAUCAGGAUCCUACACCAUGACAAGUCACAUGAUAUGAUGGGGACCAUUAAGAUAGGAGGAAGAUAGCUUUGCCAUGACUCAGAGAAACACCAGCCCAACGUUGUCCAUUGAACUACAGCUCCCAAACCCCAUCCCCCAAGCUGAACAAAGGAAAACCACAUAAUGUUUCACCAUUACUGAGCACUGCUGUGCGGCUGUCUCUCAGGAUCCUCACAUUUUUGUGAGGUACUUUGUAAUCCCAGUGUUAUCAAUGGAUAUUCGCUGAGCUUGAGCAACUGUGACUUUUCCAAGGUCACCCCACCAUUAAGUGGAGUUCAGACCAGGCCUUCCAAUUCCACAUUUGGGAAGGGAUUGGAGGAGACUGCAAGAGCUGCGAUCAGUACACUAUUUCUGGGACAGUUUAGGGGGUACAGAAACUCACUGUGUGGCAGCUUGGGCAGCUAGGAAUAUCAGACCUCCAGCAGGGGGCGCCCACAACACUAGCUGUCAGGAGCACCCAAGUGUAGGGAAGGAAAGAAACUCAGGUUCUUGAGCGCCUGCUGUGUGCUAGCCAGGGGCUGUGUUAGGUGCAGUAGAAACUGCCCACCCUUUAUUAUUCACGGCCAAAAAUUAGCAGAGGCAGAUGGGGCUUCGGGUUGUGUUUAGACAGGGAAGUAGGAGAUGGGGAGAGGGAGAGAUGAGUGAGGCUGUGGCCAAAGCCUUCCCCUAACAUCGUGGAUUGAACAGGGGGAUGGAAGGAGAAAUUUUGAAACUGAUUCGAAUUUUACUACUUCCUAGUUAUGUGGGCUUGGGCCAAUUACUAGAUGUCUCUGAGUUUAUUUUCUCAUUUAUAAAAAUGUCUGUCACAGCUGCUUUUCAAGGUCAUUGGGAGGACUAAAAGAGUUAAUAUCCAUUAAAGAUCCUAGCAAAGUG